rnacentral:rRNA from 1 species
UAGGGAAUCUUCGGCAAUGGGGGCAACCCUGACCGAGCAACGCCGCGUGAGUGAAGAAGGUUUUCGGAUCGUAAAGCUCUGUUGUAAGUCAAGAACGAGUGUGAGAGUGGAAAGUUCACACUGUGAUGGUAGCUUACCAGAAAGGGACGGCUAACUACGUGCCAGCAGCCGCGGUAAUACGUAGGUCCCGAGCGUUGUCCGGAUUUAUUGGGCGUAAAGCGAGCGCAGGCGGUUUGAUAAGUCUGAAGUUAAAGGCUGUGGCUCAACCAUAGUUCGCUUUGGAAACUGUCAAACUUGAGUGCAGAAGGGGAGAGUGGAAUUCCAUGUGUAGCGGUGAAAUGCGUAGAUAUAUGGAGGAACACCGGUGGCGAAAGCGGCUCUCUGGUCUGUAACUGACGCUGAGGCUCGAAAGCGUGGGGAGCGAACAGGAUUAGAUACCCUGGUAGUCCACGCCGUAACGAUGAGUGCUAGGUGUUGGAUCCUUUCCGGGAUUCAGUGCCGCAGCUAACGCAUUAAGCACUCCGCCUGGGGAGUACGACCGCAAGGUU